rnacentral:rRNA from 1 species
UACGUAGGGUGCAAGCGUUGCCCGGAAUUAUUGGGCGUAAAGAGCUCGUAGGCGGCCUGUUGCGUCUGCUGUGAAAUCCCGGGGCUUAACCCCGGGCGUGCAGUGGAUACGGGCAGGCUGGAGGCAGGCAGGGGAGAAUGGAAUUCCCGGUGUAGCGGUGAAAUGCGCAGAUAUCGGGAGGAACACCGGUGGCGAAGGCGGUUCUCUGGGCCUGUUCUGACGCUGAGGAGCGAAAGCGUGGGGAGCGAACAGG